AUGUAGGGAAGGGAUAAACGCUGAAAGCAUCUAAGUGUGAAACCCACCUCAAGAUGAGAUUUCCCAUGAUUUUAUAUCAGUAAGAGCCCUGAGAGAUGAUCAGGUAGAUAGGUUAGAAGUGGAAGUGUGGCGACACAUGUAGCGGACUAAUACUAAUAGCUCGAGGACUUAUCCAAA
rnacentral:rRNA from 1 species